AACGAACGCUGGCGGCAUGCCUAACACAUGCAAGUCGAACGAUGCUUUCGGGCAUAGUGGCGCACGGGUGCGUAACGCGUGGGAAUCUGCCCUUUGGUUCGGAAUAACAGUUAGAAAUGACUGCUAAUACCGGAUGAUGACGUUAAGUCCAAAGAUUUAAUCGCCAGAGGAUGAGCCCGCGUAGGAUUAGCUAGUUGGUGUGGUAAAGGCGCACCAAGGCGACGAUCCUUAGCUGGUCUGAGAGGAUGAUCAGCCACACUGGGACUGAGACACGGCCCAGACGCCUACGGGAGGCAGCAGUGGGGAAUAUUGGACAAUGGGCGCAAGCCUGAUCCAGCAAUGCCGCGUGAGUGAUGAAGGCCUUAGGGUUGUAAAGCUCUUUUACCCGUGAUGAUAAUGACAGUAGCGGGAGAAUAAGCCCCGGCUAACUCCGUGCCAGCAGCCGCCGUAACAC
rnacentral:rRNA from 1 species